AGUGAACGCUGGCGGUAGGCCUAACACAUGCAAGUCGAACGGCAGCACAGUAAGAGCUUGCUCUUACGGGUGUCGAGUGGCGGACGGGUGAGGAAUACAUCGGAAUCUACUUUUUCGUGGGGGAUAACGUAGGGAAACUUACGCUAAUACCGCAUACGACCUACGGGUGAAAGCAGGGGAUCUUCGGACCUUGCGCGAUUGAAUGAGCCGAUGUCGGAUUAGCUAGUUGGCGGGGUAAAGGCCCACCAAGGCGACGAUCCGUAGCUGGUCUGAGAGGAUGAUCAGCCACACUGGAACUGAGACACGGUCCAGACUCCUACGGGAGGCAGCAGUGGUGAAUAUUGGACAAUGGGCGCAAGCCUGAUCCAGCCAUACCGCGUGGGUGAAGAAGGCCUUCGGGUUGUAAAGCCCUUUUGUUGGGAAAGAAAAGCAGCAGGUUAAUACCCCGCUGUUCUGACGGUACCCAAAGAAUAAGCACCGGCUAACUUCGUG
rnacentral:rRNA from 1 species